CCCUUAGAGUUUGAUCCUGGCUCAGAAUGAACGUUGGCGGCGUGCCUAACACAUGCAAGUCGAGCGCGAAGACCCUUCGGGGUUUGUAGAGCGGCGGACGGGUGAGUAACGCGUAAGAAUCUACUCUUCAGAGGAGAAUACCCCCGAGAAAUUGGGGUUAAUACUGCAUACGUCCCUUCGGGGAGAAAGGUAGCUUUAUGCUGCCGUUGAAGAAUGAGCUUGCGUACUAUUAGCUAGUUGGUGAGGUAAUGGCAUCACCAAGGCGAUGAUGGUUAACCGGCCUGAGAGGGUGUACGGUCACAUUGGAACUGAGAUACGGUCCAGACUCCUACGGGAGGCAGCAGUGAGGAAUAUUGCGCAAUGGGCGAAAGCCUGACGCAGCGACGCCGCGUGGAGGAUGAAGGUCUUCGGAUUGUAAACUCCUGUCUAGCGGGAAGAAAAGCUUAUAAUGAAUAAGUAUAAGUAUGACGGUACCGCUAAAGAAAGCACCGGCUAACUUCGUGCCAGCAGCCGCGGUAAUACGAAGGGUGCAAACGUUAUUCGGAAUCAUUGGGCGUAAAGGGCGCGUAGACGGUUUUUUAAGUCUGUUGUUAAAUUUUCUGGCCUAACCAGAGAUCAGCGGCAGAUACUGAUAAGCUUGAGGGUGGAAGAGAGAAGUGGAAUUCUCGGAGUAGCGGUAAAAUGCGUAGAUCUCGAGAGGAACACCGAUGGCGAAGGCAGCUUCUUGGUCCAUUCCUGACGUUGAGGCGCGAAAGCGUGGGGAGCAAACAGAUAGAUACCCUGGUAGUCCACGCUGUAACGAUGAUCACUAGACGUCAGUCUGCUCUGCCGGAUUGGUGUCGUAGCUACGCGUUAGUGAUCGCUGGGGAUACGUCGCAGAUA
rnacentral:rRNA from 1 species